rnacentral:lncRNA from 1 species
ACUACGUACGACUACGUUGAUCGACUACGUACUACUACGUGAUCGUCUUCUCUGCACCGACGCAUAUCUACAUCUUCCGCACCAGUAGUGCGUCGAGUGGUAAUCCCGUGAUCCUUAUACGGCAGUUCUUCCUAGUUAUACGCGGUAGAAAAUUUUGAUUUGCGCUAGCGUAGCCUACCUCGUAUCCCAACAGUGGUAUCAGAGCCGUAGCUGCUUAGUUUUGGAUUCGGGAUGUGUGCAUAUGGAGAUAUGCGAGUUCUCUGUUUGAUCUAUGUCCUGAUUUCGUGCCCUUGCUGCAAUGGUAGUGUAACGACAUACUCCUACCGGUCGGUUUCCGCCAUCGGAGUUAAGUGAUACACGUAAAUCCAGUUGCAGUGAGCGAAGAUCAAUAUGAUUUGUCGAAUCGAGAUCCAGG